rnacentral:rRNA from 1 species
AACGAACGCUGGCGGCAGGCCUAACACAUGCAAGUCGAGCGAGCCUUCGGGCUAGCGGCGGACGGGUGAGUAACGCGUGGGAACAUACCCUUUACUGCGGAAUAGCCACUGGAAACGGUGAGUAAUACCGCAUACGCCCUUCGGGGGAAAGAUUUAUCGGUAAAGGAUUGGCCCGCGUCUGAUUAGAUAGUUGGUGGGGUAAUGGCCUACCAAGUCUACGAUCAGUAGCUGGUUUGAGAGGAUGAUCAGCCACACUGGGACUGAGACACGGCCCAGACUCCUACGGGAGGCAGCAGUGAGGAAUAUUGGACAAUGGGCGCAAGCCUGAUCCAGCCAUGCCGCGUGAUUGAAGAAGGCCUUAGGGUUGUAAAGAUCUUUCAGAUGGGAAGAUAAUGACGGUACCAUCAGAAGAAGCCCCGGCUAACUCCGUGCCAGCCGCCGCGGUAAGAC